ensembl:processed_transcript 1700110K17Rik RIKEN cDNA 1700110K17 gene
ACUGUGAGGAGCAACUGCGUUGCACACCCUGCUCCGGAGUGGAUGGGGACUUGUCCGAGGAGUGAUCUGAGCCCUUCUCCACCAUGGUGUCUCCGUCCUGGUUCUGUGGUGUUGGUCAAAGAACCAAAGAACUGCACAGCAGAAAUUAGGUGGCCUUUCUGACUCAGUGUAUGAUCUCAUGGUGAACCCCUCCACACUGAUUUAAUGGUUAGAGGAAAAUGAGUGUAUUUUCUUCACCCCCCACCCCCCACAAGGAUAUGAGAAGGAGGGUGGGAAAGAACACAUGGAAACACUGAGAGACUCAGCAUCUCUGGGACAGAAGGGCUCAGAUCUGCACUAGGGGACGCGUGCAGAAGCAAGACACAGGCAGUCUGAGCCCACAACCAGCUCAGCAUCGCAGCUUUCUCGGUGGUCAGGGCUACAUCCACACAGGCAGCAGAGACUGCCAUAGGACUCUCAGAUGGAAGAUCCUCGAUGGGCAGGUGGAUGCACACAGAAGAACCAUUUCUCUCACAGUUCUCACCUCGUUGUUCUUAAGCACGAGGUCAGGUCCUGGGCUAUAACUUCUUCACUCCUCAUCUCCUUUACUGAAAGUGAAAUGUAUUUCCUCAAACUCGUCUCAGAUAUUAAAACACACUAUCCCUCUCUCCAACAACUGUCCAUACAAAUUUCGCUUGCAUUUGCAGGGCUGGGGAUCAAACUGAGGCCCCAGCAAGUUGGAAGCAGGCACUUUCCCACAGCGGCGGCUCCAAGCGCCAGUCUCUAGUCAGGUGGCACUCUGACACAUCAAGGGAUGGACUGGACACAAUUAUUUGGCAUGCAAAUCAUUGACCUUUUGAAUAACUCAAAUAAAGCUCAAACUAC